UACGGGAGGCAGCAGUGGGGAAUAUUGCGCAAUGGGGGCAACCCUGACGCAGCAACGCCGCGUGAAGGAUGAAGGUUUUCGGAUUGUAAACUUCUUUUAUCAGGGACGAACUCUGACGGUACCUGAUGAAUAAGCUCCGGCUAACUACGUGCCAGCAGCCGCGGUAAU
rnacentral:rRNA from 1 species